GAAGGGUAAUAAUAAUGGAAAAAAAUUGAGUUCAUUUCGCUGAUUCGCACAAGAAAGAGAGGAGCAGGGAAAAAAUUACAGCCAGUAUUCGGACAGAAAAAUCAAAUUAAUAACCGGACAAAACAAGGGCCAUCAGCCACUCAAUCAUACUCGUCCAAUAAAGGAUGCAAAUCUGAUAUGAUGCAGAAGAAAAUGCAGAGGCCAUUGAAAGGGAACUGAUCCUGGUGUCAAAGGAGGAAGAAGCGGUGAAAUCACUCUCAGUCUCACAUCGGUUUUGUUGCCAACCUAGUACUCACGAUCACGAGCAGAGCACGUGUUUCGUCGACAACGAAUGAUUGUGGCUGAAUUCCUUUCACAGAACCAAAUAAAAGACGAAGGAAAGAUUCACAGAUGACAUGUCAUCCUAGGAGUAUGUAAAAGUGUGGUCUGACUGAGAUAUUGACAGAUGACAUGUCAUCCUAGGAGUAUGUAAAAGUGCGGUCUGACUGAGAUAGGAAUGUGUCAAAAUCAAGGCAACACAUUCCCGGCGCAGCCACUUUUGUAACUU
rnacentral:lncRNA from 1 species